rnacentral:rRNA from 1 species
GACGAACGCUGGCGGCGUGCUUAACACAUGCAAGUCGAACGAGAAUCUACUGAAAGAGUUUUCGGACAAUGGAUGUAGAGGAAAGUGGCGGACGGGUGAGUAACGCGUGAGGAACCUGCCUUGAAGAGGGGGACAACAGUUGGAAACGACUGCUAAUACCGCAUGACGCAUAGAGGUCGCAUGAUCUUUAUGCCAAAGAUUUAUCGCUGAAAGAUGGCCUCGCGUCUGAUUAGCUAGUUGGCAGGGUAACGGCCUACCAAGGCGACGAUCAGUAGCCGACCUGAGAGGGUGACCGGCCACAUUGGGACUGAGACACGGGCCCAAACUCCUACGGAGGCAGCAGUGGGGAAUAUUGCACAAUGGGGGAAACCCUGAUGCAGCGACGCCGCGUGAGCGAAGAAGUAUUCGGUAUGUAAAGCUCUAUCAGCAGGGANAAGAAAUGACGGUACCUGACUAGAAGCACCGGCUAAAU